rnacentral:lncRNA from 1 species
GCCUGUUCCCAGCUGUGUCCCCACCACGGUGGCCUCUGAGGUCUGAGAGCCCGAGGAGAGGCGCAAAUGCCACACGAGGGGAUGUCCUGGGUGCACCCCUUCCUUCCGGCCCUCUCCCCUGCGAGGUCCUACAUCCGGGUGCUGAGCGCCUCCUGGGGCAGGGGGCCGCCCUUCCUCCUGCAGGGCCCUGCAGCACCGACAGGACCCUGCUGCGGGGUCCCUGCUGGGCUAGGCGAGCCUGAGCGCUUCCGCAGCCUCAUCUGGAGAGAACGAGUAAAAAUAGUCGGAUCUCCGUAUGCUCUAGGCCUGGCCGGGCAGGCGGGCGGCGUGGGCCUCGCAGCGACGUGUUGGAAGGAACGCUGCUUCCAGGGUCAGGAGCCUGGGCGGGAAGCGCUAAGCAGGCCCGCCAGGGCGAUGUUACCCCCUCGGAAGCGAGGCCGAGCGCGCAGGGCUCUUUCCCAAGGUCACGCAGCGCACAAUGCCUGGACGUGGGGUCGUAUUGCGGGAGACCUCGCGCUACACCGAACUGAAGAAUCGGAAACUGGUGGUGGGGUCCGGGAACUGGUGCUUUCACACGAUCCCCAGCCCAAGGUAGUGUGGCGCUGCCUUGGGGAUCUCAGGGGUCCCCCACUCCAAGAGUCAGUGAGCCCAAAGUCUUCUGAGAGGAGGGGCACCAGGGUCAGGAUCUGCCCCCCAGGGGUUUGUAGGAGAGGAGAGCCAGUGCCCCCCACAACAUUCUUUAGAGCUCGCCAUUCCAUGCAUAUCUGUGUCCUAGAUCCAUUGUGGGGAACAGGGAAAGGGGACGUUACUAGAACCUCUGCAGUGAGUCCUAGUCUCCUGCGAGCCACAGCAGCACAAAGCGAAUUACAGGAAAGGUAGAAAAAUGAGACUGAGAAGCUGAGCUUUGGGUCUGAUCAGUGCUGCUCUGGGCGGCAGAGAGGAAAGCGCCCCGCUUACCGCACCUUUUAUUCAGUACUCAGUCCAUCGGGAGAAACAAAUUAACAAAUGACUUGCAGAGCGUUCAGUACAUCCGCGUAAACAAGAUGGUAGCAGUCCAAGAACGAUGAGGAACUGAGGAGAUGUUUCUUCUCCCAGGAUGCUUUCAGCUCCCAGGAUGUUUCUUGCCCUGUAGAAUCACAGCAUCACCGG